GCGAAUCCCUGAAAGCCGGUCUCAGUUCGGAUUGGAGUCUGCAACUCGACUCCAUGAAGUCGGAGUCGCUAGUAAUCCCGGAUCAGCAACGCCGGGGUGAAUACGUUCCCGGGCCUUGUACACACCGCCCGUCACACCACGGGAGUCGGCAACACCCGAAGUCAGUGACCUAACCCGUAAGGGAGGGAGCUGCCGAAGGUGGGGUUGGCGACUGGGGUGAAGUCGUAACAAGGUAGCCGUACCGGAAGGUGCGGCUGGAUCACCUCCUUU
rnacentral:rRNA from 1 species